AUUGAACCCUGGCGGCAGGCCUAACACAUGCAAGUCGAACGGUAACAGGAAGAAGCUUGCUUCUUUGCUGACGAGUGGCGGACGGGUGAGUAAUGUCUGGGAAACUGCCUGAUGGAGGGGGAUAACUACUGGAAACGGUAGCUAAUACCGCAUAACGUCGCAAGACCAAAGAGGGGGACCUUCGGGCCUCUUGCCAUCGGAUGUGCCCAGAUGGGAUUAGCUAGUAGGUGGGGUAACGGCUCACCUAGGCGACGAUCCCUAGCUGGUCUGAGAGGAUGACCAGCCACACUGGAACUGAGACACGGUCCAGACUCCUACGGGAGGCAGCAGUGGGGAAUAUUGCACAAUGGGCGCAAGCCUGAUGCAGCCAUGCCGCGUGUAUGAAGAAGGCCUUCGGGUUGUAAAGUACUUUCAGCGGGGAGGAAGGGAGUAAAGUUAAUACCUUUGCUCAUUGACGUUACCCGCAGAAGAAGCACCGGCUAACUCCGUG
rnacentral:rRNA from 1 species